AUGAAGAACGCAGCGAAAUGCGAUAAGUAGUGUGAAUUGCAGAAUUCAGUGAAUCAUCGAAUCUUUGAACGCACAUUGCGCCCCUUGGUAUUCCAUGGGGCAUGCCUGUUCGAGCGUCAUUUGUACCUUCAAGCUCUGCUUGGUGUUGGGUGUUUGUCUCGCCUCUGCGUGUAGACUCGCCUCAAAAUAAUUGGCAGCCGGCGUAUUGAUUUCGGAGCGCAGUACAUCUCGCGCUUUGCACUCAUAACGACGACGUCCAAAAGUACAUUUUUACACUCUUGACCUCGGAUCAGGUAGGGAUACCCGCUGAACUUAAGCAUAUCAAUAAGCGGAGGA
rnacentral:misc_RNA from 1 species